rnacentral:ncRNA from 2 species
UCAGAAACCCGUGGCGAUUUGUUACCGGAUUGCGGGCCACGUUAAACAUGCCGCUAAAGAGGUCAGGACGUGAAAGCC